rnacentral:tRNA from 1 species
UUUACUUUAGCAAAAAAAGUGCUUUAAAUUUAGAAUUUAAAUAUAUAUAAUUAUAAUUAAAU